UACGAAGGGGGCUAGCGUUGUUCGGAAUCACUGGGCGUAAAGGGCGCGUAGGCGGCUUUAUAAGUCGGUGGUGAAAUCCUGGAGCUCAACUCCAGAACUGCCUUCGAUACUGAGAGUCUCGAGUCCGGGAGAGGUGAGUGGAACUGCGAGUGUAGAGGUGAAAUUCGUAGAUAUUCGCAAGAACACCAGUGGCGAAGGCGGCUCACUGGCCCGGUACUGACGCUGAGGUGCGAAAGCGUGGGGAGCAAACAGG
rnacentral:rRNA from 1 species